CUUAGCUCAGCUGGAUAGAGCAUUGGUUUUCUAAACCAAGGGUCGGAGGUUCGAAUCCUCCAG
rnacentral:tRNA from 1 species